rnacentral:rRNA from 1 species
GACGAACGCUGGCGGCGUGCCUAAUACAUGCAAGUCGAGCGGGACUAUGAUUGGUGCUUGCACCGAUUAAAGUUUAGCGGCGGACGGGUGAGUAACACGUGGGUAACCUGCCUUAUAGAUUGGGAUAACUCCGGGAAACCGGGGCUAAUACCGAAUAAUACUUUUAAACACAUGUUUGAAAGUUGAAAGACGGUUUUGAUGUCACUAUAAGAUGGACCCGCGGCGCAUUAGCUAGUUGGUGAGGUAACGGCUCACCAAGGCGACGACGCGUAGCCGACCUGAGAGGGUGAUCGGCCACACUGGGACUGAGACACGGCCCAGACUCCUACGGGAGGCAGCAGUAGGGAAUCUUCCACAAUGGACGAAAGUCUGAUGGAGCAACGCCGCGUGAGUGAAGAAGGAUUUCGGUUCGUAAAACUCUGUUGCAAGGGAGGAACAAGUAGCGUAGUAGCUGGCGCUACCUUGGCGGUACCUUGUUAGAAAGCCACGGCUAACUACGUGCCAGCCGCCGCCGUAAUAC